AAUGCACCAAUUUGUAAGUCGCUCUGGAUAAGAGCGUACGCUAAAUGACUUAAA
rfam:Salmo salar isolate Sally breed double haploid chromosome ssa20, whole genome shotgun sequence.